rnacentral:piRNA from 1 species
UACGAUUUUUUUUUAUUGUUU